rnacentral:rRNA from 1 species
AGUCACUGACAUUAGAUACCCCUGUAGUCCAGGGUGUAAACGCUGCAGACUUGGUGUUGGAAGUCCUUUGGGGGCAUUCAGUGCCGGAGAGAAGUUGUUAAGUCUGCUACUUGGGAGUACGUCCGCAAGGAUGAAACUUAAAGGAAUUGGCGGGGGAGCACCGCAACGGGAGGAGCGUGCGGUUCAAUUGGAUUCAACGCCGGACAACUCACCAGGAGCGACGGUUACAUGAAGGCCAGGCUGAUGACCUUGCCUGAUUUUCCG